UACGGAGGGUGCAAACGUUGCUCGGAAUCAUUGGGCGUAAAGCGCACGUAGGUGGCCUGUUAAGUCGGGUGUGAAAUCCCUGGGCUCAACCCAGGAAGUGCACUCGAAACUGGCAGGCUUGAGUACUGAAGAGGGUCGCGGAAUUCCCGGUGUAGAGGUGAAAUUCGUAGAUAUCGGGAGGAACACCGGUGGCGAAGGCGGCGACCUGGGUCGAGACUGACGCUGAGGCGCGAAAGCGUGGGGAGCAAACAGG
rnacentral:rRNA from 1 species